UACGGAGGAUGCGAGCGUUAUCCGGAUUUAUUGGGUUUAAAGGGUGCGUAGGCGGGCUUUUAAGUCAGCUGUGAAAGUUUGCGGCUCAACCGUAAAAUUGCAGUUGAAACUGCUGGUCUUGAGUAUGUUUGAAGUAGGCGGAAUUCGUGGUGUAGCGGUGAAAUGCUUAGAUAUCACGAAGAACUCCGAUUGCGUAGGCAGCCUACUAUGCCAUAACUGACGCUGAUGCACGAAAGUGUGGGUAUCAAACAGG
rnacentral:rRNA from 1 species